AGUAUCUAAUAGCUUUUAUUAAAGUAAGACCAACGGAACAGUGUGGAGGAAAGACUGACUCAUAUUCUUCAAAUAAUCUUUGGAACCUAGAGACUGAGAAUUGCAGAAGCUUCAAGGAGGAAUCUCAAGUUUGAAUAGGAAGAACAGUGGUGGAGGAUUCUCAAGGCAUUAAGUCUGAACAAGGAUUGCAGAAUGAGACCCCCUAAUAGCAAAGGCACUAUAGCACUAAAAAUAUGCUGC
rnacentral:lncRNA from 1 species